AUGGAGGAGGCGGCGUCGGACGACCCCAGGCUGGCCAUGAAGUGGAGGGCGUUCCGAUCGCGCCGCAGCACUCCGAUAGGUCGGUCAGAGUUCGUCGUUGGGGCGGUGAUGGGCCUCCCUGCACCGGUGCCUGUGGAGAAGAUGGAGGUGCAGGCAGAUCCAGAGAGCAGCAAGGCCAAGGGGGGAGCGAAGCCUGGUUCGAAGAGGAAGAAGGCGAAUAUGCCACUGGUGCUAAGGAGAUCGCCACGCUUCCCUCACCGUUCGCUACGCCUGCUCUGCCUCGCCCGUUCCCAGGGACGGGAAUAG
rnacentral:rRNA from 1 species